GGGAGACAGAGACACACGGGGAGAUGGAGACCGACAGAAUGGUGGUCGGCGCAACACAAUUCUGAGGGGAAACCUGGUGGAACAGGCGACCACAUUUGCCAAGAAACGAAGAAAUAAAUUUAUUUUAAUUUUAAAAUAAAGAAAUUAUAAAAGGAAAAUAA